UACGUAGGGGGCAAGCGUUGUCCGGAUUUAUUGGGCGUAAAGAGCGUGUAGGCGGCUAUGCAGGUCCGCUGUGAAAACUCGAGGCUCAACCUCGAGACGUCGGUGGAAACCGCAUGGCUAGAGUCCGGAAGAAGAGAGUGGAAUUCCCGGUGUAGCGGUGAAAUGCGCAGAUAUCGGGAAGAACACCCGUGGCGAAGGCGGCUCUCUGGGACGGUACUGACGCUGAGACGCGAAAGCGUGGGGAGCGAACAGG
rnacentral:rRNA from 1 species